rnacentral:rRNA from 1 species
UAAUACGGAGGGCGCAAGCGUUGUUCGGAAUCAUUGGGCGUAAAGCGCGUGUAGGCGGCUUGGCAAGUCGGGUGUGAAAUCCCGGGGCUCAACCCCGGAACUGCAUUCGAUACUGCCUCGCUAGAGUCCCGGAGAGGAGGGCGGAAUUCCCGGUGUAGAGGUGAAAUUCGUAGAUAUCGGGAGGAACACCAGUGGCGAAGGCGGCCCUCUGGACGGUGACUGACGCUGAGAUGCGAAAGCGUGGGGAGCAAACAGGAUUAGAUACCCUGGUAGUCCACGCUGUAAACGAUGGAUGCUAGCCGUUGGUGGGUUUACCCUUCAGUGGCGCAGCUAACGCAUUAAGCAUCCCGCCUGGGGAGUACGGUCGCAAGAUUA